GACCUGGUGGUGUAGCAACACACCUGCUAUGCAUAGGUGGGAGCUCUUCGCAUAAUUGGCAGGAGAUCCUCGUUCGAAUCGGGGUCAGGUCA